rnacentral:rRNA from 1 species
CCUGGCUGUAUUUUUUUACUGUGGCUGAUACGUGAUUCUGUCAGAUCGCACAAGCUAAGCAGGAUCUGGCCUGGCCAGUACGUGUAUGGGAGACCUAUAGCAAAGAUUUCGGUGCUGCAUGAC